CCUACGGGUGGCAGCAGUGAGGAAUAUUGGUCAAUGGGCGCGAGCCUGAACCAGCCAAGUAGCGUGAAGGAUGACUGCCCUACGGGUUGUAAACUGCUUUUAUGAAGGGAUAAAGUGAGGCACGUGUGCCUUUUUGUAGGUACUGUAUGAAUAAGGAUCGGCUAACUCCGUGCCAGCAGCCGCGGUAAUACGGAGGAUCCGAGCGUUAUCCGGAUUUAUUGGGUUUAAAGGGAGCGUAGAUGGGUUGUUAAGUGUGUUGUGAAAGUUUGCGGCUCAACCGUAAAAUUGCAAUUGAAACUGGCAGUCUUGAGUACAGUGGAGGUAGGCGGAAUUCGUGGUGUAGCGGUGAAAUGCUUAGAUAUCACGAAGAACUCCGAUUGCGAAGGCAGCAUACUAAACUGCCACUGACAUUGAUGCUCGAAAGUGUGGGUAUCAAACAGGAUUAGAUACCCUUGUAGUC
rnacentral:rRNA from 1 species